rnacentral:rRNA from 1 species
UACGGGGGGGGCAAGCGUUGUUCGGAAUUACUGGGCGUAAAGGGCUCGUAGGCGGCCAACUAAGUCGGAUGUGAAAUCCCCAGGCUUAACCUGGGAACUGCAUCCGAUACUGGAUGGCUUGAAUUCGGGAGAGGGAUGCAGAAUUCCAGGUGUAGCGGUGAAAUGCGUAGAUAUCUGGAGGAACACCGGUGGCGAAGGCGGCAUUCUGGACCGACAUUGACGCUGAGGAGCGAAAGCCAGGGGAGCAAACGGG